CUUCCUUUAGCUCUAUGCCAAAGUUCCUAAUAAUCACAUUUUUCUAGCUAAUGAUAGCUAAGUACUUUCUAACUCCAGAAGGGCUAUCCUUGGGGAACCCUCAAGAACUUACCUGGCUUUAUCAGCGUGAUUCUCAACCCUAGUUCAAAUCAUACUUGGUCUGACAGACCCUAACGCUCACUAGUGAGGGUUAUCCUGGUGCCCCCAAUUACUGAAAUUACUCAAAGCACAUCAAUGGCAGAUACAAGUGGCGCAGCUGUGGCCACGUGACGGGCAGUACACCUAGAACGUGUGUACGGUUUUUAUGGAAGCCUACAACUUCUUAUGUGCCAGCUUUUGGCUCUGGCUGGAGUCCUGAAAGGAGUCUGUGAAAUAUCAUCCUAGUUUCCUCUGCAACAGCAUUACCACAACACAGGUUCUUUCCUUGCACAGACAGAGUGUAACCUACCAGCGAUCCUGUCCCGGGGCCUUUGCCGCUAAUCUUAACAGGGAGAGCACCUAAAUAGGUAAUCCACCUGCACCAUUCCCACUUUAAACAGGCGUGUCUAACUGAUAUAUUGAUCGGAGGCUGUGCCAACACUCACUUACGGUCUUGUGGUAUUAAUAGGAAUCAGCAGGGACUACCUUUACGAAUGGGAAUUGGCUUACAUGAUGCAUGGGCUUCUGGCAGUUCUAUCUAUCUAGCUAGCUCUGGUACACACUGGAUUGACUGACGGCUGAUAGUUUAAUUGUGCGUUAUGUACGCUUCAGAUCGUGUUUUUUUUUUUAUGUUGUAUGAUUUUUACAUCAGGUUAUCACAUAAUCCAUAGGACAAAAUAUACACUGUGCCG